AUAAUAAUUUGCCUCCCAAUUAGAGGCUUGUAUGAAGGACUACACGCGAAUAUAACUGUUUCAUUUUUACUUCGAUAAACUAUCCUACAUGUGAAGAGACCUGUAUCCUAUAAAAAGACAAAAAGACCCUGUUGAGCUUUACUUCCUACUAGUUUUUCAACUUAUCACUUCAAACCCUUCAACACGAAAAAGUAUUGUUGGGGCGACAAAAGAAGACCUAAAUCUUCUUUAAUUAAACAAAAACACAGCUCGACCAAAUUAUAAUCCAACAGCCUUGAUUAACGGACCCAGCUACCACAGGGAUAACAGGCUAAUUUCUUCUAAGAGCCCAAAUUGACGAAAAAGUUUGGCACCUCGAUGU
rnacentral:rRNA from 1 species